rnacentral:rRNA from 1 species
GGAUGAACGCUGGCGGCGUGCCUAAUACAUGCAAGUCGAGCGAACGGACGAGAAGCUUGCUUCUCUGAUGUUAGCGGCGGACGGGUGAGUAACACGUGGAUAACCUACCUAUAAGACUGGGAUAACUUCGGGAAACCGGAGCUAAUACCGGAUAAUAUUUUGAACCGCAUGGUUCAAAAGUGAAAGACGGUCUUGCUGUCACUUAUAGAUGGAUCCGCGCUGCAUUAGCUAGUUGGUAAGGUAACGGCUUACCAAGGCAACGAUGCAUAGCCGACCUGAGAGGGUGAUCGGCCACACUGGAACUGAGACACGGUCCAGACUCCUACGGGAGGCAGCAGUAGGGAAUCUUCCGCAAUGGGCGAAAGCCUGACGGAGCAACGCCGCGUGAGUGAUGAAGGUCUUCGGAUCGUAUAACUCUGUUAUUAGGGAAGAACAUAUGUGUAAGUAACUGUGCACAUCUUGACGGUACCUAAUCAGAAAGCCACGGCUAACUACGUG